CGCGUAGGCGGCUUGUUAAGUCUGGAGUGGAAGUCCUCUUUUUAAGGGAGGAAUUGCUUUGGAAACUGGCGAGCUUGAGUGCAGGAGAGGUUAUCGGAAUUCCCGGUGUAGCGGUGAAAUGCGUAGAGAUCGGGAGGAACACCAGUGGCGAAGGCGGGUAACUGGACUGCAACUGACGCUGAGGCGCGAAAGUGUGGGGAGCAAAACA
rnacentral:rRNA from 1 species